CAUCUCUCAGGGUCGCCCAUGGAGAGUUUCCAGUAUACUACCGGUCCCGACUAUGGGAGGGAGAAUCACGCAGAGGCCUACCCAUUCCAUUCCUAGCUUGGCCAGUGGCUAGCGAGUGGAAGGCAAUCUGCUACAAGU